rnacentral:rRNA from 1 species
AUAGGGGAGCCGAAGGGAAACCGAGUCUUAACUGGGCGUUAAGUUGCAGGGUAUAGACCCGAAACCCGGUGAUCUAGCCAUGGGCAGGUUGAAGGUUGGGUAACACUAACUGGAGGACCGAACCGACUAAUGUUGAAAAAUUAGCGGAUGACUUGUGGCUGGGGGUGAAAGGCCAAUCAAACCGGGAGAUAGCUGGUUCUCCCCGAAAGCUAUUUAGGUAGCGCCUCGUGAACUCAUCUUCGGGGGUAGAGCACUGUUUCGGCUAGGGGGUCAUCCCGACUUACCAACCCGAUGCAAACUGCGAAUACCGAAGAAUGUUAUCACGGGAGACACACGGCGGGUGCUAACGUCCGUCGUGAAGAGGGAAACAACCCAGACCGCCAGCUAAGGUCCCAAAGUCACAGUUAAGUGGGAAACGAUGUGGGAAGGCUCAGACAGCUAGGAUGUUGGCUUAGAAGCAGCCAUCAUUUAAAGAAAGCGUAAUAGCUCACUGGUCGAGUCGGCCUGCGCGGAAGAUGUAACGGGGCUAAACUGUGCACCGAAGCUGCGGCAGCGACGCUUAUGCGUUGUUGGGUAGGGGAGCGUUCUGUAAGCCUGCGAAGGUGUCCUGUGAGGGAUGCUGGAGGUAUCAGAAGUGCGAAUGCUGACAUAAGUAACGAUAA